AUAGGAACUUUGUAGGAAAGCACAAAGAGGCUGCAGAGAUUACAACCACCACCUUAUCUGCUGCCGGAGAGUUUGUGUGCGUGUUUUUUUAAGUGUUUCGCCCAGCUCCUCCUUCCCCCACUACAAACAGCAAACACAUGAGUGAGCUAAUCAGCUCUUAAACUGAAAAACCUUUCGAUACAGGCGAGUGAUAGAAGAUAAAGCUGAGGGGCGGCAGGAGGAUCAAAUAAAAGUUGCUCCGCAGUUUGCUCAUCCAAGCCCCGCAGCGACCGCAGGGGAGUGAGGUUCCCAAAGCCGCUUUCACACCUUCGAUAAUGCACUAGCAAAGAGAAGCCCGGAGAGGCUGAAGUUUCCACGGAGGGCACCGUCGGGGAGACGCAGCCCGGGAGGACAGAAAAGUUGGGCUCGCUACCUCUGCACACGGGCGAGCCGGGGCUCCGUCGCUCAGGAAAAGAAGAUGUCCUUAAUAAGCAGCUUUGACCGAGAACUCUUACUUCAAUGGUGGAAGAUUUCUGGGAAAGAGGAGGAAGAGGCUAAAAAUAUUUUAAAGAAUCUUUUAGGCUUGACGAAAAGGGAUUCCCUAGAAAGGAUUUAUGUUUGCUUCUGCCUGAGCCUGAGGACACUACCAACCCAGGAAAAUUUAAGUCCCCUAGGUGAGAGGACAGAUGUUUCGACAAACCAUGAUCAGAUGUGAUGCUCUGGGAUCAACUAAUUAAGAGAUCUUAAACUUAAAUAAUCCAAGGCAGAGUUUCCAUUAGCAGCACUGGGAAAAGCUUAGCAUUUAGGAAGUCACUCCUGCCUGCCAUACCCUGAUUUUCAGCAGAUCACCUGUUCUCCUGAUACCUAGGCACCUAUUUGCAUAGCAAGAGUGGAAGUUACUAUUUAUCCUCAGCGGUAUACAUAAUCACAUUGACUUAUUCGGUUUUACCCCAAAAGGACUCAUUGAGUUUCACUUACCUCCA